GGAGAGAGAGGGGAAAAAAGGAAGAAGCCAGGGAUUGACUGAGCAAAGGCUAGGGGCAAAAGUGAAAAAGGCAAAAGCAAUCCAGACUCUGUAGAGUCCAAAAUAGUGCCUUCUCUAGGUGCUUAGGCUCAGAUGGGCCUAACUAUGAGCUCUCCCUUGUCAGAGUUUAUGCGAGAGCUUCCUGGCUGGAUCCUCUUCUCUGGAAUCUUCCUUCCUGGGGUGGCGCUGCUGCUGAUGAUCCUGGCUUACCUCAGGAUCAAACUGAUUGAAGCUGAUGAUGACCUGGCCCAUGCCCCCAGCCCUCUGAAUGCCAUGCGGCAUUAUCACAACAAAUGCCACAGGUGGGGCCGCUCCUCACGUUGAAGGCCAACCUCUUCAAGAAAACAAGACUGAAAGGGGGGAUGUUCCCACAGGUCAGAAACUGCCAAGGGACAACCAUCCUUCCCUUCCAGGAAACCAACACCUCAGGGACAUAGACCAGCAAACAAAUAUAGUGACAGUGAGGCAGCUGCUGCCUCAAAAAGUAUUCAGCCUAGAAAAAGUAUGCCGGGCCCACCACGAGCCAAUGACCUGGCUGCUGCCUCAUCAUUAAAACCAGCCCACAGACUGACCAGAAAUAAACGGCACAGAUGUAUGUAGAUGGCAUGACGGUGCAAGACUGUAAUGGACAAUCAAGAACACGUCAGUUCUGCCGUACGAGUUUGGCUAGAGAGCUGCUGGACAAUGAGGGAAAAUUAUUUCCACAUCACUUGUCUGCUUGGAUAGAAUGUGGCAAGCUGUAGAAGAAAUAAUUGAAAUCACGCCCAUGGUAUGGAUCACCAGAAUACUACAAUGCAAUUCUCCUCAAUAUCAGACUCAAGAUUGCAGGUCUGGCAUUAAAGAAAAAAUGACUAAUCAGUCAAACUCUUGCUUCUGGCCUCAAAGAUACUGAGAGCCUAAUAACAAGAGAAGGAAAAGAGAAAGGAAGCAACAUGGCCUAGAGCAAAGAGCCCCAGGUCUGGAAGGCAAGGAUCUGGGUUCUAACCUACUUACCUGCUGUUUGAUCUUGGGCAAGUCACUUAACUUCUCUGUUCCUCAGUUCCCUAUUCUGGAAAAUGGGGAUUCAAUACCUGUUUUCCCUAUUUAGACUUUGAGCCUCAUGUGGGAACUGAUUUCUUUGUAUCUACCUCAGUGUUUAGUUCAGUGCUGACAGUAGGUGCUUAACAAAUACCAAAAUUAUUAAAAAAAAUAAAUCCACUCUUUGCUAGAAGGGUAAUUCAUCCUUUUCCAUUUGAGAACCCAAAGGGACUGAAAAUAUCUAUUUGGUGCUUGGUGUGUCAACAGUAUGGUUGCAUAUGUGUUUUCUUAGACAAUUCUUUUUUCUAAUUAGCUCUGUAAAAAGGAUUUGUCCUCUGACAUGAUUCUAAUCUUGACAAUUGUCAAUCUCUAUGGAAGGAGCCCACUGUAUUAACUAACUUUUGAAAUGGUUUCAGUCUCUGAUAAUGAAGGUAAUGAUCUUUCAGAAUGAAAACCACACACACACACACACACACACACACACACACACACAAAAAGGUUUCCUGAGAUAGUGACUGAUCAUACUAUGUGCUUUUUUGUCAGACCACUUUGUAUUGGGUGAACUGUUCCUCCAAUCUGCUGCUCUUUGCCUAAUAUGAAACUUGUUCAACUAGAGAGAUUCAUGUUCAUGUUUGAUUACAUUUGGUUAAGAAGAAGAUAUCUGCAGGAGUUUUCAAAUGAAGGAACUGAGGUUAUUUGGAGAAACAGUGUUCAGACCAUAAGGAAGGCAGAGCAAUAUUUUUUCAGUUCAGGUGGAAUCUCUUCUUCACUCACCCCUGGAGGAAACCAAUUGAUUUUAAAAUGUUCCCUUUAACAAACAGGAAAAUAGGGCCCAAUUUGCACUCUGAGACAGCAAAACCUGAAAUUCAGUCAGUAGAUAUUACAGGAUAAAUUGCAGCCUUCUCAAGUUUGUUAUUUAGCUUUAUGGUCUGCUAGAUUGCCACAACUGACAUACAAAUAAAAACAUGCUCAUUUGCACUUUGGCCUCUGUGGUCAGGAAGAGACCUAUAUUUCUUUCCCCAUCUAAGAUGUCAACUCAGUGGUUUUCUUUAGCAUCAAAGUUGGACUAUUUUUGUGGUGGUGCAAUAAGGUAAUACUAAAACAAUCUUGACUGAAAUCAUAUUUAGAUUCAUGCAUAUUUAAUGGAAGGCUAACAAUUUUUCUGAGAGAACACAUCCAUAGAUCCCUUGGUUAUCUUCGACUUGCAAUUAUUAUAUACAAUUAUGUAAAAUGAUCAUUAAAAAAACCCCAUCAGGGAA